AGUGAACGCUGGCGGUAGGCCUAACACAUGCAAGUCGAACGGCAGCACAGUAAGAGCUUGCUCUUACGGGUGGCGAGUGGCGGACGGGUGAGGAAUACAUCGGAAUCUACUUUUUCGUGGGGGAUAACGUAGGGAAACUUACGCUAAUACCGCAUACGACCUACGGGUGAAAGCAGGGGAUCUUCGGACCUUGCGCGAUUGAAUGAGCCGAUGUCGGAUUAGCUAGUUGGCGGGGUAAAGGCCCACCAAGGCGACGAUCCGUAGCUGGUCUGAGAGGAUGAUAAGCCACACUGGAACUGAGACACGGUCCAGACUCCCACGGGAGGCAGCAGUGGGGAAUAUUGGACAAUGGGCGCAAGCCUGAUCCAGCCAUACCGCGUGGGUGAAGAAGGCCUUCGGGUUGUAAAGCCCUUUUGUUGGGAAAGAAAAGCAGCAGGUUAAUACCCCGCUGUUCUGACGGUACCCAAAGAAUAAGCACCGGCUAACUUCGUG
rnacentral:rRNA from 1 species